rnacentral:rRNA from 1 species
AGAGUUUGAUCAUGGCUCAGAUUGAACGCUGGCGGAAUGCUUUACACAUGCAAGUCGAACGGCAGCACGGGUGCUUGCACCUGGUGGCGAGUGGCGAACGGGUGAGUAAUGCGUCGGAACGUACCGAGUAAUGGGGGAUAACGCGGCGAAAGUCGCGCUAAUACCGCAUACGCCCUGAGGGGGAAAGUGGGGGAUCGCAAGACCUCACGUUAUUCGAGCGGCCGACGUCUGAUUAGCUAGUUGGUGGGGUAAAGGCCUACCAAGGCGACGAUCAGUAGCGGGUCUGAGAGGAUGAUCCGUCACACUGGGACUGAGACACGGCCCAGACUCCUACGGGAGGCAGCAGUGGGGAAUUUUGGACAAUGGGGGCAACCCUGAUCCAGCCAUUCCGCGUGAGUGAAGAAGGCCUUCGGGUUGUAAAGCUCUUUCAGCUGGAACGAGACGGUACGCUCUAACAUAGCGUGCUAAUGACGGUACCGGCAGAAGAAGCACCGGCUAACUACGUGCCAGCAGCCGCGGUAAUACGUAGGGUGCGAGCGUUAAUCGGAAUUACUGGGCGUAAAGCGUGCGCAGGCGGAUUGUUAAGCAAGACGUGAAAGCCCCGGGCUUAACCUGGGAAUGGCGUUUUGAACUGGCAGUCUAGAGUGCGUCAGAGGGGGGUGGAAUUCCACGUGUAGCAGUGAAAUGCGUAGAGAUGUGGAGGAACACCAAUGGCGAAGGCAGCCCCCUGGGAUGACACUGACGCUCAUGUACGAAAGCGUGGGUAGUAAACAGGAUUAGAUACCCUGGUAGUCCACGCCCUAAACGAUGUCAACUGGUUGUUGGGGGAGUGAAAUCCCUUAGUAACGAAGCUAACGCGUGAAGUUGACCGCCUGGGGAGUACGGUCGCAAGAUUAAAACUCAAA